UAAACUACUUGAGGUUUCGUUUUAUUUUAUUGUGCUUAAAUACAUAAGUAAAUGUAAAUGGAACUCCCCAAGUAAUAUUUACUUAGUAUCUUGUCAUAAAAUGAACUAAUGCAAAAAAAUGACAAACGCAAGUAAAACUUACUCCACGAAGCCAGGCAAUCUAUGCGCAUGCGCUCUUGGUCCCCGAAGUGGCGCGCAGAGGAAGAGGAAAGCAACGGAAAAUUUCCUGGAAGGACGAUUUGAUUUUUACACGAUUGCACUCACCGUUCAAGCUCAUGCAAGCAAUUUGAAGAUAAGCGAGAUGCUGUUAUUCGCUGGGAGAGUCAUCUGAGGAGCUCAUUGAAGCCUACCAGGAUGUCAGCAGAGACAUGAUUAAAGAUUGCUUCACCAGUCAUGUAACGAAGAUCAUUGAACUGGGCAGCACUGCAGGAGAAGAAGAUGCCAACACAGCUGACGUCGUUAUCGUCAUUGAGGGAACUAAGGUGUUGUUUUACUCUGAUUAAAUCUGAGAGCUUUCUGAACCACACAUUGGCAGCAAUGUCAUUGGAUCUUUUGAGGUCUGGAUAAAUAGU